GCCGUGGUGGUGAAAUUGGUAGACACGCACGGUUCAGAGCCGUGUGGCCGAAAGGCCAUGAGAGUUCAAGUCUCUCCCACGGCA
rnacentral:tRNA from 1 species